UACGGGGGGGGCAAGCGUUGUUCGGAUUUACUGGGCGUAAAGGGCGCGUAGGCGGCCACCGCAAGUCGGUUGUGAAAGUCAAGGGCUCAACCCUUGAAAGCCGGUUGAUACUGUCGGGCUAGAGUCCGGAAGAGGCGAGUGGAAUUCCCGGUGUAGCGGUGAAAUGCGCAGAUAUCAGGAGGAACACCGAUUGCGAAGGCAGCUCGCUGGGACGUUACUGACGCUGAGACGCGAAAGCGUGGGGAGCAAACAGG
rnacentral:rRNA from 1 species